rnacentral:misc_RNA from 1 species
UCAAACUUGGUCAUUUAGAGGAAGUGAAAGUCGUAACAAGGUUUCCGUAGGUGAACCUGCGGAAGGAUCAUUGACAAAUCUUAAGUGGGGAGUGGGUUAAUUAACCCUAAACCUCAACUUUAACCAUUUAGCCUGUCACAGGGCUAUUUGUAUGUGGGUGUGGGUUUUUUGAUUGACAUGUUAAUUAUUGACGACAUAUUAUAAUAAUAAUAUAUACAAACUUUUAACAAUGGAUCUCUUGGCUCUUGCAUCGAUGAAGAACGCAGC